UCUGGAUGUUUGAGUUAAUGCCCUUGUAUUGGGUCACAUUCACAGCUGCUCCAGAGCAUAUGAAUGUCAUGAUGUUGAUUCAUGUGUUAGAAUUACUGAAGAUGUGGAACUGGAUGAAAUUACCCAGCUGGAAGGCCUGCCAGUCUCCUGGGCAACCUCAGCUUUCCCAGAUACCUGCCUGGGAGAGUUUGGGAAAAGAGGAGACCUUGGAGUCCGUGAAAGAAGAGGUUCUCACAGAACACAAGACAGAAACAUCAUAACUGCCACCGUCAAGGCAUCAAAGGCUUUUGCACACAAGAUCCAGUCAAAAUUAGACCCAUCUUUGGGUUCCUCAAGCUUUAGUUCAACUGAACCCCCCAAUCAGUUGAACUGUGCUAGCCCCAAUCUGCUUAGGCCAGGAGUAAGCUCUCCCUCCCGACCACUUUUAGGCAAUGGGGAUUAGACACAGGAUCUUCCAUAUGCCUUAAGCUAUAUAAACAUUCUACCACUCUGAUGGGGGAAGUCCUUCUGUGUAUAUGUUUCUCUUAUUGGUUGAUAAAUAAAGCACUGUUGGCCAAUAGGGAAGCA
rnacentral:lncRNA from 1 species